CGCAGAAUAUCGCGAGUUGGAUCCACAGGGAUCACAGAGUCCAAGUCCUGGCCCUGCGCAGGACACCCAAGAGUCACACCACGUGCCUGAAAGCGUUGUCCAAACCUUCUUGGACUCUGUCAGGCUUGGUGCUGUGACAAUUUCCGUGGGGAGCCUUUUCCAGCACCCAGCCGCCAAAGGGUGAAGAACCUUUUCCUGAUAUCCACCUUAAACCUCCCCUGACACAGCUGAUAGCAUUACAAGGAGGUUAAAAAAGGGAAUUCACUGGCUUCUCAUUUGUAACUUCUCGUUUUAGAAUAGUAAAAUGAACUGGGUCAGAGGGGGUCUUCACAGGUUGUCUCAUUCCAACCCCACUGCCGUGGGCAGGGGCACCUUCCACUAGACCAGGUUGCUCAGAGCCCCAUCCAACCUUGCCUUGAACACUUCCCGGGGUGAAACAUCCACAGCUUCUCUGGGCAACCUCUUCUAGUAUUCUUGCUUCUAUGUUUAUGUCUUAAGUGCAUGAAGCAGUGUUUAGCAAAGUGCUUUUACAUGAAUUGGAAAAGAAUAGGCCUUGCGUCGGGCUUCAGAAAACCAGUACAGGACCAACAUAUGUGGAGCCAGCAGCAGCUAAAUCAUGCUUGCCAUUAUGUUUGAUAUCUCUGUAUGUUAGUUUGCAUUUGGAAAACCUGCUAUUCCCAUUUAUCUUUGUUUUUUCCUCCAGAAGCACUAUUUUAACAAAACUGUGAAUGCUUUGUUUACGUAUUAACAAGUUUUAUAAAAAAAAGGUGGGUUUUUUUUUUUAAGUUAAUGAUCCCUACUUGAAAUACUAAUACACGAACACUGUUAGUAGUAUGUAAUUAAUAAUAAGCGUUAAUUAUUUCUCACCUGAAGCACUGCACGAAGCAUAUUUUGUAAUUUUAUAUUAUCUCAAAGAUUCUAAGAAAAACUGUAGCAUUUAAAAUUGUUUUAUACCAUUUUGUCCAUCUGAAUGCGAUCCUUGAACUAACAGAUAUUUCAGACACAGUUAUACCAUCAUGCUUUCUGCAUUUUUUGUAAACCAUUCUACACCUUUCUGUCAGUAAACACUUCUUUUGAUUUAUAACUAAUAUUAUUGAGGUGAAAGCUAGUAGUUUUUGUUAGGUACAUGUGCAGGCAGGUUCCUUGUAAGGAGGCGGAAUUUUGGAACUGAAUAUAGGAAAACAUCUUAGAUCAGUUCAGAGUUUCCUCAUCUUUCUGUAACCAUAUUGCUAAGCAGCUUUGCCAGGCAUCUUGAUUCUCAAAUUAUUUGUUGUUGUGGGUUAGUGCUUGCUUAUCUUUUUUUUGCUAUCUCUUGCCUACUCAAGAGCUUGCAUGUGAACUUCUCCUUCGAUUUGUUUUAGAACUGUGGAACCAUUGGAAUAUUACAGAAGGUUUUUGCACAUUACUCGUUGUUGAUCCAACUGCUGAAGAAGAUGAUUUAGCAACUGGAACAGUAACCAUUGUCUGAUGAAGUAGGCAGACUCUGUUCUGUCCAUAAGCCAGGUGGAAUUCCUUUUACAGAAGCCAAGCUUCAGGACUAUAUCACCAGAGCAAUUACAAGACACAAAGAAGUAAAGAAGCUGAUUGACAAAGUAAUAAAAAGUACAGUGCCCAAGUGAACAAAAUGAGAGAUCUUUUCAAAAAUGGAUUUGUAAAAAUUGUAUUUGUUACAGUGUUCACAAACCUUUUAUACUAAAUAAACAAUUACCAAUACUACCUUUACAAAGGAAGUCCGGAGAAGCAAUGCAUUAAUUUCAGGGGCAGGUGGAUAAAGCCCCUAGGAAUGUAUUGUAACAAGCUCUAAUAUUCAGUAAAGCUUAGAAACAUA